AAAACUUUCAACAACGGAUCUCUUGGCUCUCGCAUCGAUGAAGAACGCAGCGAAAUGCGAUAAGUAAUGUGAAUUGCAGAAUUCAGUGAAUCAUCGAAUCUUUGAACGCACCUUGCGCUCUUUGGUAUUCCGAAGAGCAUGCCUGUUUGAGUGUCAUGA
rnacentral:rRNA from 2 species